rnacentral:rRNA from 1 species
GAGUUUGAUCCUGGCUCAGGACGAACGCUGGCGGCACGCUUAACACAUGCAAGUCGAACGGAGAAUUUUGGUUUUUAAUUAAAAUUCUUAGUGGCGGACGGGUGAGUAACACGUGAGCAACCUGCCUCUGAGAGAGGGAUAGCUUCUGGAAACGGAUGGUAAUACCUCAUAACAUAGCUGAAGGGCAUCCUUUGGUUAUCAAAGAUUUAUCACUCAGAGAUGGGCUCGCGUCUGAUUAGCUAGUUGGUGAGGUAACGGCCUACCAAAGCGACGAUCAGUAGCCGACCUGAGAGGGUGACCGGCCACAUUGGGACUGAGACACGGCCCAAACUCCUACGGGAGGCAGCAGUGGGGAAUAUUGCACAAUGGGGGAAACCCUGAUGCAGCGACGCCGCGUGAGCGAAGAAGUAUUUCGGUAUGUAAAGCUCUAUCAGCAGGGAAGAAUUCAUGACGGUACCUGACUAAGAAGCACCGGCUAAAUACGUGCCAGCCGCCGCGGUAAUUC